AAGGCUGUUGAGGAGGAGGGAGCGAUUGAAGGGGGGGUUGACUUGGCAUGCACUGUGCCCCUCGGGAUCGUUAUUGCGUGUGAAACGGCUGCUUUUGGAAGGCUGUUGCCCAGAAGAAAAGAUGUUUGGUUUUCAGAAGACAAAGAUGUACCGAAGGAUAGAGGGCUGCUGUAUUUGCAGAGCUAAAUCCUCCAGUUCUCGACUCACUGACAGUAAGCGCUAUGAAAAGGAUUUCCAGAGCUGCUUUGGGUUACAUGAGACUCGUUCAGGAGAUAUCUGUAAUGCCUGUGUCCUGCUUGUGAAAAGAUGGAAGAAAUUGCCAGCAGGAUCAAAAAAAAACUGGAAUCAUGUGGUAGAUGCAAGGGCAGGACCCAGUCUAAAGACUACACUGAGACCAAAGAAAGUGAAAACUCUAUCUGGAAACAGAAUAAAAAGUAACCAGAUCAGUAAACUGCAGAAGGAAUUGAAAGGCCACAAUUCUGAUGCUCACAGUACAACCUCAAGUGCCUGUCCAGCUCAGUCUCCCUGUUACAGUAAGCAGUCAGAUGAUGGCUCAGAUGCAGAGAUGGCUUCUGGCUCCAACAGAACGCCAGUGUUUUCCUUUUUAGAUCUCACAUACUGGAAAAGACAGAAAAUAUGCUGUGGCAUUAUCUAUAAAGGCCGUUUUGGGGAAGUCCUCAUCGACACACAUCUAUUCAAACCUUGCUGCAGCAAUAAGAAAGCAGCUGCUGAGAAGCCGGAGGAGCAGGGGCCAGAGCCUCUGCCCAUCUCCACUCAGGAGUGGUGACUAAGCUUUAUGUAGAAGGGGAGCAAAAAUGAUUUAAAUUUUGGAAAACAAAGCAACAAAAUGACCCUCCUAUUUUUAAUUUGGAUACCUGCUAUUCUGCCAAAAGAUGGAUUUGUAGAAUAGUUUUGAAUGGGUUAUUUUUCCUCCAGUUCCACAAACUCUGAAGCCAGUGAAGCUUACUAAGAGAUAAAAAAGAAGUGUACAUAAUAUUUAAGAUGCUGAGUAUUUCAUAGGAAAGCUGAAUGCUGCUGUAAAGUGCUCUUUAAGUCUUUUUUAAAAAUCCCCUUCUAAUGAAUGAAAUUAGGGGAAUUUUCAGGGGACAGAGAUGGGAUUUGUUGUAUGAUAAACGUAUGUAGUUUUAGUCUUUCUAUUUUGAGAAGCAGUGGUUGGGGCAUUUUUUAAGAUGGCUGGCUACACUUGUUUUCCUUCGUUAUAAUAAAUUUGUCAUAACUCAGUAAACAUGGACUUGCCCCUAGAGGUAGUUGUUAAUAACUGAAAUAUUAAGGUCUUGCCAAGGUUCUGGUGAUUCAAACCUGUACUACUGAAUAUUAAGCAGGACAGACAGCUCUCUGGUGCAAAUAUCUUGAAGGAGUAAUUUCUAAAUAGGCAAAGGUAACUUGACUGUAUAUGUUGCAUCCUGUGUCACCUCACUCCAUAUUGAUAUUUGAUACAGAUUUUAAUUUAUAUGAAACUUAAAAAGCAGAAUCAAAACUUAAAGCAGAAUCAAAGUUCCUCUUGGGGAAAUGUCAAGUCUUUAGAAUAAGCAAUCCUAUAUGAAUAGUACCAAAGCAUUACCACUUGGUAGAGAACAUUCUCUAUUGAAAAUGUUAGAUUAUCUGAAAAAUAACAAUGUGCAAGUCUUUAGGAUGGCACACGAGAAAAAAAAAGGUUAAUGCUUCUUGGGGCACAUUUUUUAGAGGGCUUGCAAGUGUGUAAAUAAUUUAUGUUACGUGACUGGUGACUUCACUGAAAAUCUGCACAACUCAGUUUUAGCUCUGGAUUACUUCAGUUGACCUUUGUGAAGGUUUUAUCUGUGUAGAAUGGUUGUUUGACUUGUUUUAACCUGUUAGGGUUUUGGGUUUGUUUUUUUUUUCAUUCUAUAUUAAAGUAAAAUUCUACUAAAAGAAAAGAGGUGUGUGUUAAUGCUGAGUGGGUUGGUUUUGGUUUGGCUUCUUUUAGUCAGGCUUUCUGAACAUUGAGGUGUUAGAUGAUACAUCCUAAAUGUGGAGCUCUUCCAUUCUAAAACCUUCAUUAAAAGCCUUUUACUUGAACCCAAACCAAAGUACUAUCUAUUGCCUCUUUUCUAAAAGUACAGGAAAAAUAUAUCACCCGUUUUCAUAAUGAGGAAUGAUCGUUAGCCUCCCUGGUAAAACAUGACUCAGUGCUUAUUUUUAAAACUGGAUUUUAAAGAUUGGAUAGUAUACGUAACAAGAGAAUGAGCCACUUUUUAUGGGCACCCUAUAGUUUUAUAGUUUUUAAUCGCAACUUAAAAUUUUAUAUUUCUUCCUUUGGAAAAAACUACAAGCCACCAUAUGCACAGACUACACAGUGAGUUGGGUCAGUGCUCCCACAGACUUUGAGGUGUAUUACAAGAACCCCAGCCAUUAUCAUCUUCCUCCUGAGUUAUUUUGAAAUUUUUUUUGUACAUUUUGGCUGCAGUAGUGGUGGUAGAAUAUACUAUAAUAUGGAUCAUCUCUACUUCUGUAUUUAUUUAUUUAUUACUAGACCUCAACCACAGUCUUCUUUCCCCCUUCCACCUCUCUUUGCCUGUAGGAUGUACUGUACGUAGUCAUGCACUUUGUAUUAAUAUAUUAGAAAUCUACAAAUCUGUUUUGUACUUUUUGUACUCUUGGAUACUUAUAGUCAAAACUUUUACUAGGGUAUUGAAUAAAUUUAGUCUUAUUAGAAAAU